rnacentral:rRNA from 1 species
UGAUGGAGCACUGCCGCGUGUGUGAUGAAGGGUUUCGGCUCGUAAAACACUGUUGUAAGAGAAGAAUGACAUUGAGAGUAACUGUUCAAUGUGUGACGGUAUCCUACCAGAAAGGAACGGCUAAAUACGUGCCAGCAGCCGCGGUAAU